rnacentral:rRNA from 1 species
UAUAGAGACUCAGAGCUGCAUAUCAAUAAGCGGAGGAAAAGAAACUAACUAGGAUUCCCUCAGUAACGGCGAGUGAAGCGGGAAGAGCUCAAAUUUGAAAUCUUCAAGGUUCUACCUUGACGAAUUGUAGUUUAAUAGAAGUGUUUUCUGUUAGUAGAGUGGCUAAAAGUUCUUUGGAAUAGGACAUCAUAGAGGGUGAGAAUCCCGUAUUUGAUCAUUCUUUCCUAAGCUUUGUGAUACACUUUCAACGAGUCGGAUUGUUUGGGAAUGCAGUCCAAAAUGGGUGGUAAAUUUCAUCUAAAGCUAAAUAUUGGCGAGAGACCGAUAGCGAACAAGUACCGUGAGGGAAAGAUGAAAAGAACUUUGAAAAGAGAGUUGAAACAGUACGUGAAAUUGUCAAAAGGGAAGCGUUUGACACCAGUGUUGUUUUUCCGAAAAUCAAUUACGAAUGUUUUGUUUUUGAGAAGUUAUGACUUCAUCGUCUUGCUUCUCUUCUUUACGAAACUUUCUUAAUGCACUUUUCGGUUAACAAGUCAACAUCAAUUUCUUUUGUUGUAAAAGGGUAUGAGGAAGGUGGCUUUCUUUUCGGAGAAAGUGUUUAUAGCCUUGUACCUCUGCAAUCGGAGAGAUUGAGGUCUGCAGCGUAGAUCCUUCGGGGUUAGAUACAGUUUGUGCUAAGUUAUAGCUUUUCAUAGACAACUUGUUGACUAUGUUAGUCUUGUAGCUUACUCGCUUAUGCUAUUUUACCUACGCUUAGGAUGUUGAUAGUCACAGCGUGUAC